UAUUCAAACCUGAACUAAUAAGCGAUGAAGAAGGUCUCUUGUUUCACCAUUUUGAUCGUCGUGGCAGCAUUAGCUGUUUUUCUACCCAGACGAGAAACAGGAGGCGCCAUUACCGCUAUAGAAUUCGGGUUUCCAGGGGCCAGCGCUGGAAAAAUUCCACUGGACCGUCAACGUCGCGGACGUAAUCCUAACACUAACAAGACCGUACGAACACGGCGCCAGCGAAGACAGCAGCAGCAUGGCCGCACUUACGGAUGGAGAUGAUUACGGUCGUGACCAGGAACUCUCCAGGAUUUUAUCUGAACUGUUGGACAAACCCAUCUACUUCAACGUUUAAUCCGUGAGAGCUGCACAACAAACUCCAUUGAAGAAUAAAGCUUUACCAAACAUUUA